rnacentral:lncRNA from 1 species
CGCUAUGUGAGGUUCGCUAGUAUCUGCAACUUUAAAAUAAUUCAGGAUGGGGAGAAUAUCAUCAUUUGCUAUAGCCGCAAGCAACCUUGGGGCCCCUGUCAGACUCUGGAGAGCAGCCCCUAAGGUUGAGAGGAUGAUGCCAACGUGAACAAUUAAGGGGAGAGGCCAAGCAACUGUGGCAGUAAGAAGCCUGCAAUAGAGAAAAAUUACUCUCGUAUGAAAAAUUUCAAGAAAUUUCAUGAGGUGUUGAAGCGCUAAAAGAACAGGUCUCUGCGACCACUAUCAGACGUGCUUAAUUUAUUCUGACAUGUAAACUAAAAAAGUACUGCUUUCGUAGGCCCCUAGUAGUUUUGUUUAGUACAUUCAGAGCACAAAGCAACUUUUACUAUCUUUCAAGUUUAUCCAUGCUAAACACACUAGAUCGGCUUUGAAACCAAAAAAAAACAAAGAAGUCACACGAGUAACACCGUUACCUAUCAGUCAAAAGUUUGUCACGGGUAGCAACAGCUCCAAAAAACAGCACUGAUAUCACAUACAGUAAGGUGGUUGACAGAGUGGCAGCCAAUGUUCCAACAGGAAUUGAUCUUUGUGUGUCUUUCAGUGAAGCUGAUCUAUUUGAACCAGCCAUAAUUCCUGUUACAGCAGGGAAAAAUAGACCCACCAACUCACUGAAAAGUAACAAAGAGAACGGUAUAUAAAUUUCAGAGUAACAAAUAAACAUACACAAAAACUAGAGUUUUACUAUCAUAGGCAACAAAUUUCUAGAUGUGACUCACUUGAAACUCCAGUAUGUGCCUCCAAGUGGAUCAGGAAUUCCCGCAUUAUUUGUCAUCUGAUAAGCAGAACUCCAGUUAUCUCUAAAACUUUUUAAUCGCAAGCCCGUGAUUCCAGCUGUUCAGAUCAUAACAAUGGAAAGGUUAACAAUUUGGGGAAAUAUAUCUCCAUGCCUAUAUCCAACAAUAUCCUGAAAUGGCUUACUGUCAGGAUCAUCUGUUUUUGCCAAAAACAUCCCAAUGAAUAUGCACAAGAUAGAGAGCAACACGGGUAGUAGGAAAGCAGGUGCAACCCGAUUGAUCAUCUUCACGCCGCCAAACACAAUGAAGCAUAGAAGUAUAGUCACAACAAUUCCAUAAAUCUGCAAGUCGUGUGAGCUUGGGCUUUGUACUGAUUCGGCAACUGCAGUUCCAUUAACCUUUGUGAUAGUUUCUGCCAUUAGAAAUGAAACACAUAUAAGUGGCUAAAUGUGACUAAUAGGCUAAAGAUUUUGUCCUCAAGGAAAACAAGUAAAGGUUUUGUCAAAUAGAACUCAGAUUUUGGCAGUCAAUAAUAUAGUUCUUGCAAAUCCUCGAUUGCAUAUAGGCGUUGCCAUUUCCAACAAUUGAUGAAACAAGUCUUUGACGUCAAGACUAACAUGAAUAAAGUAGUGUGAUCGGAAAACUGAUAAAUUACUAAGAGUUGUUGGAUAUCCUAGUACCCCUUUGCUUUGGUUCACACUUCACAGGUUUCAAUUCUUACAAGUUCCACAGUAAUACCUCUAAAAAUCCCAGCAGCAGGGAACGCUUUUAAAAAAGUCUCCACAGCACCCAAAACGUACCUACAUUGAUAAGGAAGAAAGCAGAUAAAUUAGUCAUUAGAAGCACUCGGAGACCAUGUGAAACUGAACAGAGCACCAGCAACUUAAGAGUGUUGAGCUUAAGACUUUCUCCAAGAGAAUCUAUUUCAAAGGAUCCAGAAUAUAACACUUACAGAGCUCCAGCAACUGCAUUGCCAAGGAAGAAGCAUAAACCUAUGCUAAUCCCAACCUCCGGACCAAGAGCACGACCAAUGAGGUAAUAUGGUCCUCCACCCUGGAAGUAAAGUAAUGCGAGUUAUUUACGGAAUAAACUUGAUGUCCUACAUAUUGUUCUAUCACAAAAGAAAGAGAGAAGUAAUAGGGGUGCUAAGUAUGGACCAGAAACCCAAGGAAUGGAUGGAUACAUUUUAACUAUUGUAAAAGAAAAUUCCGGGUGAUAUUACAGAAAAAUAAUUACCUUCAUUGCGCCAUUUGUCGCAAUAGCACUCAAAGAUAUUGUCGUCAAAAAUGUACAUAAUCCACACAGCAAUACCAACACUAGGCUUUGUCCGAUACCAGCCAUGCCAACAAUCCUGAAAAUUAAACAGAUUAAGACACGCCAUGGUGACUUCGCAGAUUGUUGUGCAACAUCAAGGAUUUUGCAGUCUUACCAUGUGAAACGGAUAUAGUAUAUAAUUCCUAAAAUGUUUUGCAAGCAGGGAACGAAAACUCCCAUCAUUGUACCCAUCUUGAGAGCAGGCUGCAAGAACAUGCAGAUAUUAUAACAUCGUGGAAAAUCAUAAAUGCAGUGAUAGUCAGUAAAAAUGAGCGCUUAAUCAAAACAGCCUGGCAGAAAUCAUCUAAAUUGUGUGAGUAAGAAGCUAAUGGGAAUAGUAAGAUACCUUUGGGUGCCCUUGCAUGAUGGAGAUAUCCUCCCCAUCUCUAGGGCUAGAUGGUGCUGGAAUUUGCUCUCCUGUCAUGCUGAAGGAGAUAUUCAUCACAUUACCAUUAAGAAAAUAUGUGUUUCCCAGAACAAAUGACAAACUGCUGACUGAAUAAGCAAAACAUAGUUUACGGUAAAAGAUGCAUUUACACAUUGGGAAGAUGAAAGAGAGAUCCUCAUUUCGUUACAUAAAAAAAAAUUACAAGACACUUAUGAAUUCCUAAGAACAAACAACACAAGGCGAUAGAAAGCACAUCAGUUGUAUUAUAGAAUCAUGAAUUUUAUAAAUAGUCAAGGGAAUCCAUAAAAACGAUUCAAAAAAAAAAGCAAGAAACUUCUAUUCAGUGAUUCCCUGUUUCAGCUCAGACCAAAAAGACCACGCUGAUCAAUGAAAGCAAGAGACCAUUUCCAGUAUGCAGUAAAUGAAGGCUGGUUCAUCAUUCUAAUGUGCAUUUCUACAUGAAAACAACAAUCAAGAUCGCAUGUACCUCUUCAAACCAAGAAUGUUCACAAGAGAAUCAAAACCAAAUAAUUCCAGCUUGGAUUCCUUCUGAUGGCCAUUGACUCCAUCUUCUGGUAUAGGACCCUCCCUUGCACCAGCUCCCAUCUCUCCCGGUGCAACUACUCUUAUGUUCCUGUCAAAAACCUACAAGCGUGAGACACUCACCAUGAAAAAAAAAAGUAAACAAUACUGAAUCAUUCAAGGUAGACUUUAGAAUAUUCCAAUCACACGAUUCUUAAACACUACAACCAUCACUGCUGAUUUAACCAAAUUUGCAUCCCGUUUCUACUAAUCAGUACAUGUAAUCGUUAAUCAUCAUCAUCAUCAUCACCAAAGAGAUGAUCAAUACACAUUCAAAACUGUGCUACAACACCACAAGGAACACAAUCAUACUUGAGGGUGGAAGAGGAGGAGGAAGAUCCAGGAUCGAUGGAUGACAUUUCGACAACCGCUCUAUCGUGCGCCCCCACCGGCCUGUAUUUUCCUCCGCCGAGUCGCGGGAAUUCCUCUUCGCCGGCGGCUUCUUCAAUGUCGCCCCUAUCCAUUUCUCUCCGCCGAAUCUGGACAGAUCCGUUGCUCCUUCUAUCGCAAAUGAGAAGGAUAUCUCGUCGGAGUUAGAGAUCGGCGAGUUUGAAUCUGACGAGAAAUGAGAUCGAUACUCAUACGCAUUAACGGAAGAAAUAAAUAAUAUUAAAAUGAGGAAAAAUUAUUAUAAACGGAUGAAAUUAUUACAAAGAAGUUAAAAUUAAAUUACAAUUUGGGCUUUUUAAUGAGAAAAAGACCAAAAUAGCACUAAAUGAUGUUUUUGUUCUCAAACUAGCACUCAAGGCCAAAAGUCACAAAAAUAGCACUCAAGAGGUGGGGUUUAGGGUUUAGAAUUUAGGGUUUAGGGUUUAGAGUUUAGGUUUUAGGGUUUAGAGUUGAGAAGUGAGGUUUUGGGGAUAAGAUUUCAAAUUUUGAAAAAUAAAAAAAUUUAAAUUUUUCAAAAGAUAAAUGCUAUUUUGGUCAUUUUAGUUUUUUUUUUUUUUUUUUUUGAGAUAAACUUAGAAAUGUGCUAUUUUGGAGAUUUGCCCUAAAAUAUAUCUGUUUUUUGAGAAAAUAGAAGAACGAGCAACAACAAAUUCAAAGGAAGAGCAAUAUUAUACUACCGUGGACCCGCAUACAUGAGAUUAACCUCGUAAACUCCAAAGGAACCCAACGGCUACUUUCUCCGAACGGCUACUUUCUCCAAACGGCUACUUUUCUGCUUUCAAAUUUCCUUAUAUAAUCUGAGAGAGAACUUCAAUCCACACCACAAAGUAGCGACCAAUGAAAUUUAGAUCUUUCCCUCUCCUAGCCGCAGCUUGGCGACGGGUUAGUGAAGUAAACGGCGGGUCUGAUGAAGGUCGUUCUCUCGAGCGGUGAUGUUAAAACCGAGCCGGAUCCAAACGUGGAGAGAUGAUGAAGAUGUCUUCUGCUCAGGUACAUUCUCCACUUCUUCUUUUUUUUUUUUUUACAGAAUUUAUAAAACCAUAAUUUUGUUAUAAAAAGUAUAUACAAACUGUUUUUUUUUUGUCAAAGUCUUAUUUUCGAAAAAUUUAAAAGUUUUAAGGGGAAACUAUUGAUUACUUGACUGAUAAUGGAAGAAGCUUAUGUGUAAUUAGUGGAAACAAAAUAGAACAUGUCUCCAGUCGUUGAGAUCGUUAGAGAUGAUAAUGUUUCAUUUGCCUCUUGACACUUACCAUCACUUUGUUAUUCUAAAUCAAAUCUUGUAAUAAAUUGUUUCCCCUUCCGUAUAUAUAUUUAAAAAAAAUUUUAUAAUCGAUCUUGAAAUAAAGAAUUUUUCCCUCUCGUAUUUUCCCCUUCUUACUGUUAUUUUUUUGUUCGUUGAUUAUUUUGCUUGCUUUAAUUUAUUGUUGUGUUUUUUGCCAUUGACAAUUGGUGGAGGGGAUGAGAAGUCUGCUAGUGGGGGAAAGAUGCAACAGAGAGAUACGGCAACCAUCUUCCACGGACGUUCUAUAUGCCAGACAGACAGUAUGAUCCGAAAAGAAAUUGUAGAGGGAGUGACUCAGAUUGUACAGAUGCUUGACACAGAAAAAGAGUGAUGGAACUCUUCUUCUUUUUUGUAGUGUGUCUGCUUUAGUGUCUUGAGAAUGUUUUAUCAGUUUAUAUGUAAUCCGUUUGUUCCCAAACUUGUAGACCAUUUUCUCAAAUUGAUUUUGUUUAGAUUAUGCUUGUAUCGUUAUUUUGAUACUUGUUGUGUUCUUGAGUUUCUUGAAAGAUGACAUUUUUUUUGGUGUGUUAUAUAACGCAAGUGUAGAACCAUAUCUAGAAAUAGUUUUAUAUAUUUCACAAAACUAAAGAAAGUUACACCGGUGUGAUAAGAUAAAUUAACAAAUUUCAUAUAAAAUUAUAAUUAGUAAUCGUUAUAUGUAAUUAUAUAAUAAGCAUGAGCCUUAAUUAAUUAUAUAGAGAGAGAGGCAUUCGGAUUCACACACGUUUGAGGAUGGAUCUUUAGGUGUUUGUAUUUUGAGGCCAAGAGUAGAAGGAACAUGGAGAAGAAGAGGCAUUCAUUGAAGCUAUUGUUGCUUGCUCUCCAGAGAGAUGAUGAUGGAAGGUUUCAUUGGAAGAAUUAUCAGAUGGAUCUUUGUUAACUUCUUCCUCUUCUUGGCUCAUGAUUAGCUGAGAAGCAACUAACUUGUCAAGAGUUUGCCAAUCCAUCCAACGUAUUUGUAUAUAAGACUUGCAAGCGCAAUGGCAACGACAGUGAAUGACCAAGAAAUCAAGAACAUGAUCACUGCAACCGUACAGAAAAAAAGGGAACAUCAAAAAGAGUCUUCAUAAUAAUAAGACAUCUCAAUCUUCAGGUAAGACAAGACAAUUUGUUUUAUAGGAAUGGACUACAAAAGAAGACUGUACAAAAGACAAUCUUCAACAACAAGUAUUUGAAUAUUCAUACCUAUGCAAAGUGAGGCUCCAACAAAGGAAAGGCUCCAGUGAUGGUAUUUCCACCGUGGACGCCAACUUGGAGCAUCAAGUAGAUCGAGCAGGAAACAAGACAAGUUUACUCCCGCGUAGCAUAAAAGAUAAAACAUAGUCACAGUCGGUGUGAUAAGAUCCAGAUUUCCGAUGACAACACAUCCGAUGCAGAUCAAUGCUGUGAAAAGCGUCGCUAUGUGAGGUUCGCUAGUAUCCGCAACUUUAAAAUAAUUCAGGAUGGGGAGAAUAUCAUCAUUUGCUAUAGCCGCAAGCAACCUUGGGGCUCCUGUCAGACUCUGGAGAGCAGCCCCUAAGGUUGAGAGGAUGAUGCCAACGUGAACAAUUAAGGGGAGAGGCCAAGCAACUGUGGCAGUAAGAAGCCUGCAAUAGAGAAAAAUUACU